rnacentral:rRNA from 1 species
AGCAUAUCAAUAAGCGGAGGAAAAGAAACUAACAAGGAUUCCCCCAGUAACUGCGAGUGAAGAGGGAAGAGCUCAAAUUUAAAAUCUGGCAGUCUCUGGCUGUCCGAGUUGUAAAUUAGAGAAGUGUUAUCCGCGCUGGACUGUGCMUAAGUUCCUUGGAAAAGGGCAUCAUAGAGGGUGACAAUCCCGUCUUUGGCACAGACUCCCAGGGCUUUGUGAUGCGCUCUCGAUGAGUCGAGUKGUUUGGGAAUGCAGCUCUAAAUGGGUGGUAAAUUCCAUCUAAAGCUAAAUAUUGGCGAGAAACCGAUAGCGCACAAGUACCGUGAGGGAAAGAUGAAAAGAACUUUGAAAAGASAGUUAAACAGUACGUGAAAUUGUUGAAAGGGAAACGCUUGAAGUCAGUCGCAUCCUUCAGAAWUCAACCUGACCGUUAGGUCUGGUGCNCUUUCUGUUUGGAUGGRUCAGCAUCAAUUUUGAUCAUUGGAUAAAGGCUUUGGGAAUGWGGCAUCKUCGGAUGUGUUAUAGCCCUCGGUUCAUACNCAAUGGUUGGGAYWGAGGAACUCAGUGCCUUUUGGCACUUAGGAUGCUGGCAUAAUGGCUUUAAUCGACCCRUCUUGAAACACGGACCNNNGAGUCUAACAU